rnacentral:rRNA from 1 species
AACGAACGCUGGCGGCAUGCCUAACACAUGCAAGUCGAACGAGACCUUCGGGUCUAGUGGUGCACGGGUGCGUAACGCGUGGGAAUCUGCCCCUUGGUUCGGAAUAACAGCGAGAAAUUGCUGCUAAUACCGGAUAAUGACGUAAGUCCAAAGAUUUAUCGCCAAGGGAUGAGCCCGCGUAGGAUUAGCUAGUCGGUGUGGUAAAGGCGCACCAAGGCGACGAUCCUUAGCUGGUCUGAGAGGAUGAUCAGCCACACUGGGACUGAGACACGGCCCAGACUCCUACGGGAGGCAGCAGUGGGGAAUAUUGGACAAU